AAACAUAUAAACCAGUAAUUGACACCAAACAAGAUAAUACAGUAUCGGGUUCACCAUAAUAAAAAAAACCAUGAUUGAUGCAUACGAGACUAUAAAAUAAUUACAUCAAAUAUUAUACUGCAUUUAAUACUGAAAAAUAAAUCAAACAACAACUGACCAACAAUGUAUCAGAUUCGGACUUCAUUGGCAACCUCAAUCAAUUAUACAUAUCUAUAAAGUCACAAAAUAUCAUUUAAUUAUUUAUUAAGCUUUAAUAUCGUGAUAG
rnacentral:lncRNA from 1 species